UGCGUAGGCGGAUUGGCAAGUCAGAAGUGAAAUCCAUGGGCUUAACCCAUGAACUGCUUUUGAAACUGUUAGUCUUGAGUGAAGUAGAGGUAGGCGGAAUUCCCGGUGUAGCGGUGAAAUGCGUAGAGAUCGGGAGGAACACCAGUGGCGAAGGCGGCCUACUGGGCUUUAACUGACGCUGAGGCACGAAAGUGUGGGUAAGCAAACA
rnacentral:rRNA from 1 species